rnacentral:rRNA from 1 species
GACGAACGCUGGCGGCGUGCUUAACACAUGCAAGUCGAACGGAAAGGCCCUGCUUUUGUGGGGUGCUCGAGUGGCGAACGGGUGAGUAACACGUGAGUAACCUGCCCUUGACUUUGGGAUAACUUCAGGAAACUGGGGCUAAUACCGGAUAGGAGCUCCUGCUGCAUGGUGGGGGUUGGAAAGUUUCGGCGGUUGGGGAUGGACUCGCGGCUUAUCAGCUUGUUGGUGGGGUAGUGGCUUACCAAGGCUUUGACGGGUAGCCGGCCUGAGAGGGUGACCGGCCACAUUGGGACUGAGAUACGGCCCAGACUCCUACGGGAGGCAGCAGUGGGGAAUAUUGCACAAUGGGCGGAAGCCUGAUGCAGCAACGCCGCGUGCGGGAUGACGGCCUUCGGGUUGUAAACCGCUUUCGCCUGUGACGAAGCGUGAGUGACGGUAAUGGGUAAAGAAGCACCGGCUAACUACGUGCCAGCAGCCGCGGUGAUACGUAGGGUGCGAGCGUUGUCCGGAUUUAUUGGGCGUAAAGGGCUCGUAGGUGGUUGAUCGCGUCGGAAGUGUAAUCUUGGGGCUUAACCCUGAGCGUGCUUUCGAUACGGGUUGACUUGAGGAAGGUAGGGGAGAAUGGAAUUCCUGGUGGAGCGGUGGAAUGCGCAGAUAUCAGGAGGAACACCAGUGGCGAAGGCGGUUCUCUGGGCCUUUCCUGACGCUGAGGAGCGAAAGCGUGGGGAGCGAACAGGCUUAGAUACCCUGGUAGUCCACGCUGUAAACGGUGGGUACUAGGUGUGGGGUCCAUUCCACGGGUUCCGUGCCGUAGCUAACGCUUUAAGUACCCCGCCUGGGGAGUACGGCCGCAAGGCUAAAACUCAAAGGAAUUGACGGGGCCCCGCACAAGCGGCGGAGCAUGCGGAUUAAUUCGAUGCAACGCGUAGAACCUUACCUGGGUUUGACAUGGAUCGGGAGUGCUCAGAGAUGGGUGUGCCUCUUUUGGGGUCGGUUCACAGGUGGUGCAUGGCUGUCGUCAGCUCGUGUCGUGAGAUGUUGGGUUAAGUCCCGCAACGAGCGCAACCCUUGUUCACUGUUGCCAGCACGUUAUGGUGGGGACUCAGUGGAGACCGCCGGGGUCAACUCGGAGGAAGGUGGGGAUGACGUCAAGUCAUCAUGCCCCUUAUGUCCAGGGCUUCACGCAUGCUACAAUGGCUGGUACAGAGAGUGGCGAGCCUGUGAGGGUGAGCGAAUCUCGGAAAGCCGGUCUCAGUUCGGAUUGGGGUCUGCAACUCGACCUCAUGAAGUCGGAGUCGCUAGUAAUCGCAGAUCAGCAACGCUGCGGUGAAGACGUUCCCGGGGCU